rnacentral:rRNA from 1 species
AUGGAGGGGGAUAACUACUGGAAACGGUAGCUAAUACCGCAUAACGUCGCAAGACCAAAGAGGGGGACCUUCGGGCCUCUUGCCAUCGGAUGUGCCCAGAUGGGAUUAGCUAGUAGGUGGGGUAAAGGCUCACCUAGGCGACGAUCCCUAGCUGGUCUGAGAGGAUGACCAGCCACACUGGAACUGAGACACGGUCCAGACUCCUACGGGAGGCAGCAGUGGGGAAUAUUGCACAAUGGGCGCAAGCCUGAUGCAGCCAUGCCGCGUGUAUGAAGAAGGCCUUCGGGUUGUAAAGUACUUUCAGCGGGGAGGAAGGGAGUAAAGUUAAUACCUUUGCUCAUUGACGUUACCCGCAGAAGAAGCACCGGCUAACUCCGUGCCAGCAGCCGCGGUAAUACGGAGGGUGCAAGCGUUAAUCGGAAUUACUGGGCGUAAAGCGCACGCAGGCGGUUUGUUAAGUCAGAUGUGAAAUCCCCGGGCUCAACCUGGGAACUGCAUCUGAUACUGGCAAGCUUGAGUCUCGUAGAGGGGGGUAGAAUUCCAGGUGUAGCGGUGAAAUGCGUAGAGAUCUGGAGGAAUACCGGUGGCGAAGGCGGCCCCCUGGACGAAGACUGACGCUCAGGUGCGAAAGCGUGGGGAGCAAACAGGAUUAGAUAC